AAACUUGUUGCAGUUAAAAAGCUCGUAGUUGAAUUUCUGCUGUAUCGUUUUCCUCUGCUUGACAGUUGGAUUUCGUUAUGGCUUAGUUGGGUUACAGUUUCUGUUACCUGACGUUUACUUUGAGAAAAUUAGAGUGCUUCAAGCAGGCUUUUGCCUUGAAUACUUUAGCAUGGAAUAAUGGAGUAGGACUUUGGUUCUAUUUUGUUGGUUUUAGGAGCCAGAGUAAUGGUUAAUAGGAACAGUUGGGGGCAUUCGUAUUUGACUGUCAGAGGUGAAAUUCUUAGAUUUGUUAAAGACAAACUACUGCGAAAG
rnacentral:rRNA from 1 species